CACACCGCCCGUCACACCAUGGGAGUUGGCUUUACCUGAAGGCGCUGCGCUAACCCGCAAGGGAGGCAGGCGACCACGGUAGGGUCAGCGACUGGGGUG
rnacentral:rRNA from 1 species